GACUGGGUGGCCAAGUUGGCUAAGGCGUGAGACUGUUAAUCUCAAGAUCGAGAGUUCGAGCCUCUCCCUGGUCG
rnacentral:tRNA from 15 species